rnacentral:tRNA from 1 species
UCCUCCGUGGCGCAAUUGGCUAGCGCGUCUGACUGUUAUUCGUAAAGGUUGAAAGUUCGAGCCUUUCCGGGGGAG